rnacentral:rRNA from 1 species
AGGACGAACGCUGGCGGCGUGCUUAACACAUGCAAGUCGAGCGGAAAGGCCCUUUGGGGUACUCGAGCGGCGAACGGGUGAGUAACACGUGAGUAAUCUGCCCUUCACUCUGGGAUAGCCCUCCGAAAGGGGGAUUAAUACCGGAUACGACCACGUACUGCAUGGUGUGUGGUGGAAACUUUUUGGGUGGGGAUGUGCUCGCGGCCUAUCAGCUUGUUGGUGGGUAAUGGCCUACCGAAGGCUUCGACGGGUAGCCGGCCUGAGAGGGUGACCGGCCACACUGGGACUGAGACACGGCCAGACUCCUACGGGAGCAGCAGUGGGAAUAUGACAAUGGCGAAGCUGAUCAGCAACGCGCGUGAGGAUGACGGCUUCGGUUCGUAACCUCUU